rnacentral:lncRNA from 1 species
GGAGGAGGGUACUUCCUGUGUCAUGGCGCCGCGGUGAGCGUUUUGAGUGUGUUGCUGACAGCCACCAGAUGACUAGACCAUCUUGUUCUAUAAUUUCUACUGGCUGCGAGCUGCGUUGGAAGGAUCCUGGGAGACCCCCAAGCCACGCAAUGAUCAGUACAUUACUGAAAUGGUUUUCCAUGGCUUUAUCUACAUCUUUUCCUUUUGGUACAGCAUUAGAAACUCUCUGUCUGGUUUGUAGAAACAAAUUCUAGUAAUAAAUGCUGAUGUUUCAAGAUGCAAAGUAAAUGAGCUCAAAUCUCCACGUUCUCUGCUGCCUUCCUCUGUGACCUAUGUGCCCAGGGAGGAGAGAGAGUGACAGGCUCACCACACGCUCCUCUGCUUUUUGGAGACGCCUAACACAAAGGAGAAACUUUUAAUUGUUUCUGGGAAUUUGACAUCAAGAAGAAGUUUCCAGACAUACAACAAUGCAGAAUGUACUGUCACUGUGUCACCAUGGAAGUGAUUGUGUCACUCCUUGGGGAGGUGAGGUCACAGCAUCAUCUAUGCUUAUCUGUGUGUCUGACCUUCUCUCCCAUGUCGCGGUCUGUGUACCUGUCAGCCUGAAGUCUCCAUCCAUGCAGCACAGCAGAGACAGACACAGAGCUGGACACUGUGAGUUAUGGAUCAUCAGCACAAAGGGGCAGAAAGCUGGGAAACACAGAGAGCUAAAUGCACCGAUGUUCAGCAACCACCAACUGGGUUUCUGAGAAUUAGAAACACAGACUUGGAAGAUGGAGGAGAGGGUAUAAGAUGACACAAAGGUAUUCACAAGAGCCAGAAUCCUGCGGGUAGCUCUGGACUCAGUGGAGGACUUGGAGGAGACAUUGAUCCUGUGAAUGUAUUGGACCUGCUGCCUGUGCCUAUACAGAAUGAAGAGCAUAGAGAUGCUGGUGUAGAUCAUGAGGCUCAAACUGGCCACAUCAGGAAACAAUAGCAGCACUGCAUAUAGCUGUAGAGUGACUGUAUCAGCAUGAUUUGCAGAACAGAAUCCCAAAUCCUUUUGCAGUGUAAUGUUUCUAUUGCUCCAUUUUGCAGUUACAUAUAUGGGAGAAAUUAUAUUUACCAGUAUUUGCAGGGUCCAACACAUGAAAAUACAGAAGCCAGUAUACUUGGGGGCUUUUACUUUAAGCUUUGCCCACCUGAAGUUUCUGGGGCCGAUGGUGAUGGCCUGGAAGCCACUCAAGAGGCAGGUGAUGCUGACGGACACACCCCUGCCCACUCUAUGAAGAUAUAACACAGCUUUGCAUCCAAGAUCAUCGAGGAAAUCUUCCAAGCCAAAAGCUGUCAUUGUCUGGGGGACUCCUCUAGAGAGCAGGGAUAAAGAAUUGGCAACCAUCAAAUGCUGGAGAAUUAAAUCUGUGGACUUUAACUGGUGUCCAGUGAAGGAAAGUAAGAGAUAAUGGCGAAGAAGAAAGAAAUUUCCAAGGGCUCCACACACAGUCUGUGAUAAGAAAACCACUCCCAUUGCUGCCUCCUUGGAGGCCAUUCUGGCAAUUUGCCAGAUGGAUUUUGGUCUUCAGAGCAAGAAAACCCCUCAUAAGAAUACAAUGCAGAGACUGUGUUUAUCAUGAAAACUGGGUUACAUGGUUCUCCACUUACUGCUGGUUUCCUUUAGAGACACUUGUGGUUUUUCAUUCACUGGCUUGUGUUCAAAAGUUAAAGGUACUGUAAACAACACUUGUCACACAAG